AGAUUAAACUGAAGAGUUUGAUCCUGGCUCAGAUUGAACGCUAGCGGGAUGCUUUACACAUGCAAGUCGAACGGCAGCACGAGAGAGCUUGCUCUCUUGGUGGCGAGUGGCGGACGGGUGAGUAAUAUAUCGGAACGUGCCCAGUAGCGGGGGAUAACUACUCGAAAGAGUGGCUAAUACCGCAUACGCCCUACGGGGGAAAGGGGGGGAUCGCAAGACCUCUCACUAUUGGAGCGGCCGAUAUCGGAUUAGCUAGUUGGUGGGGUAAAGGCUCACCAAGGCAACGAUCCGUAGCUGGUUUGAGAGGACGACCAGCCACACUGGGACUGAGACACGGCCCAGACUCCUACGGGAGGCAGCAGUGGGGAAUUUUGGACAAUGGGGGAAACCCUGAUCCAGCCAUCCCGCGUGUAUGAUGAAGGCCUUCGGGUUGUAAAGUACUUUUGGCAGAGAAGAAAAGGCAUCCCCUAAUACGGGAUGCUGCUGACGGUAUCUGCAGAAUAAGCACCGGCUAACUACGUGCCAGCAGCCGCGGUAAUACGUAGGGUGCAAGCGUUAAUCGGAAUUACUGGGCGUAAAGCGUGUGUAGGCGGUUCGGAAAGAAAGAUGUGAAAUCCCAGGGCUCAACCUUGGAACUGCAUUUUUAACUGCCGAGCUAGAGUAUGUCAGAGGGGGGUAGAAUUCCACGUGUAGCAGUGAAAUGCGUAGAUAUGUGGAGGAAUACCGAUGGCGAAGGCAGCCCCCUGGGAUAAUACUGACGCUCAGACACGAAAGCGUGGGGAGCAAACAGGAUUAGAUACCCUGGUAGUCCACGCCCUAAACGAUGUCAACUAGCUGUUGGGGCCGUUAGGCCUUAGUAGCGCAGCUAACGCGUGAAGUUGACCGCCUGGGGAGUACGGUCGCAAGAUUAAAACUCAAAGGAAUUGACGGGGACCCGCACAAGCGGUGGAUGAUGUGGAUUAAUUCGAUGCAACGCGAAAAACCUUACCUACCCUUGACAUGUCUGGAAUGCCGAAGAGAUUUGGCAGUGCUCGCAAGAGAACCGGAACACAGGUGCUGCAUGGCUGUCGUCAGCUCGUGUCGUGAGAUGUUGGGUUAAGUCCCGCAACGAGCGCAACCCUUGUCAUUAGUUGCUACGCAAGAGCACUCUAAUGAGACUGCCGGUGACAAACCGGAGGAAGGUGGGGAUGACGUCAAGUCCUCAUGGCCCUUAUGGGUAGGGCUUCACACGUCAUACAAUGGUCGGGACAGAGGGUCGCCAACCCGCGAGGGGGAGCCAAUCUCAGAAACCCGAUCGUAGUCCGGAUCGCAGUCUGCAACUCGACUGCGUGAAGUCGGAAUCGCUAGUAAUCGCGGAUCAGAAUGUCGCGGUGAAUACGUUCCCGGGUCUUGUACACACCGCCCGUCACACCAUGGGAGUGGGUUUCACCAGAAGUAGGUAGCCUAACCGCAAGGAGGGCGCUUACCACGGUGGGAUUCAUGACUGGGGUGAAGUCGUAACAAGGUAGCCGUAUCGGAAGGUGCGGCUGGAUCACCUCCUUU
rnacentral:rRNA from 2 species